rnacentral:rRNA from 1 species
GACGAGCCACACAAACGUUAUUCGGAAUUACUGGGCGUAAAGCGUGCGCAGGCGGCUUUGCAAGACAGAUGUGAAAUCCCCGGGCUUAACCUGGGAACUGCAUUUGUGACUGCAUGGCUGGAGUGCGGCAGAGGGGGAUGGAAUUCCGCGUGUAGCAGUGAAAUGCGUAGAUAUGCGGAGGAACACCGAUGGCGAAGGCAAUCCCCUGGGCCUGCACUGACGCUCAUGCACGAAAGCGUGGGGAGCAAACAGG